UACGUAGGUGGCAAGCGUUAUCCGGAAUUAUUGGGCGUAAAGAGCUCGUAGGCGGUUUGUCGCGUCUGCCGUGAAAGUCCGGGGCUCAACUCCGGAUCUGCGGUGGGUACGGGCAGACUAGAGUGAUGUAGGGGAGACUGGAAUUCCUGGUGUAGCGGUGAAAUGCGCAGAUAUCAGGAGGAACACCAAUGGCGAAGGCAGCUCGCUGGGACGGUACUGACGCUGAGGUGCGAAAGCGUGGGGAGCAAACAGG
rnacentral:rRNA from 1 species